UACGAAGGGGGCGAGCGUUGUUCGGAUUUACUGGGCGUAAAGGGCGCGCAGGCGGCUUAUUUUGUCAGGCGUGAAAGCCCCGGGCUUAACCUGGGAACUGCGUUUGAUACGGAUGGGCUAGAGUUCGGGAGAGGAGAGUGGAAUUCCCAGUGUAGAGGUGAAAUUCGUAGAUAUUGGGAAGAACACCGGUGGCGAAGGCGGCGACCUGGUCCGAUACUGACGUUGAGGCGCGAAAGCGUGGGGAGCAAACAGG
rnacentral:rRNA from 1 species